AUGCCACUUCUUUUUCUUCUGCUCUGUUUGUUUGUUAAACCAGCUUUUCUCCAGGAGAGCCAACGGGCCAAAUUGAUCCUCCAGAUUGGAGCGCCGGUCAUGCCUGCUGGUCAGACCGUCAAAAUGUUUUGUAUGGUAUCAUUUGUUGUGAACAAAUACACCUGGUACCAUCUGAACCAGACCACAUGCACAGCUAUGAACAUUAACAGCAACUUUCUGACUCUAAUUGUCACCACUAAGGACUCUGGAGAAUACAAGUGUUCAGGUUAUUACAAUGGAACAAGGUACGACAGCAAUGCAGUAAACCUGACUGUGGUAGAGAGACUCUCCAAUGUGUGGGUGUCAUCCACACCCAAGGACUUGGUCACCAUGGAGGGGCAGAGUGUCACCCUGUACUGUCAGGCCACCUCCCACCCACUCUCUGUCAUCUGGAGUUGGUGCAGGUUGGACGAGCAGGGUGGGUGGCAGGAGGUGGACAUGGGGCGAGAGCUGACCCUGAGCAUGGCAAGUGAGAGUGGGCAGUACAUUUGCCAUGCUUACAGCAACAUCUCUUCCCCGACGCAGCAGCAACAAAGCCCCUCCCACACAGUCUAUAUCGUCUACUUCCCCAUGACUGGCAGUGUGUAUGCAGGAGUGGCAGGGUUGGUGCUGGUUCUCCUUGCCGGGGUCUUACUGACCUUGUUGCUGCUGUGGCUCUGGAAGCAGCGGGCCAAAGAGAUGGCCGGUCAAGAGACCUUGGCCACCAAUAGUGCACCGGCCAAAGGAUAUACUGGACCUGCAAAAGCACCAAAGGGGAAGAGUCAGGGCCAGGCUGGGAAUGAGGGAGAAGUCUACAUGAACUGUGGUGAAACCAACCAAGCCUACAGCGACCUGUACCCCACCUACAUCACAGGGGAUGAUACCUACGCCACCUUGGGAUGA
rnacentral:lncRNA from 1 species